rnacentral:misc_RNA from 1 species
GUGAAUCAUCGAAUUUUUGAACGCAACUUGCACCCUCUCCUGAGAGGAUGCCUAUUUGAGUGUCAGCCUAAAAAAAAUCGACAUAGUCGCUGUUUCUCGGUUACAUUCUUCGGAAAUGGGGUCAUCUUAAACCUUUUUGGGUUAAGCGGCUUAAAAUUUUCUUUACGAUUCCACGAACGUUUCUAAGAUUUACUUCUUAUACGUUUAAGUUAUCGAUCUUAAUUAGACGUGUCCGUUUCAU